UACAGAGGUCCCAAGCGUUGUUCGGAUUCACUGGGCGUAAAGGGUGCGUAGGCGGUCGGGUAAGUCUGACGUGAAAUCUCCGAGCUCAACUCGGAAACGGCGUCGGAUACUAUUCGGCUCGAGGAAUGGAGGGGAGACUGGAAUUCUCGGUGUAGCAGUGAAAUGCGUAGAUAUCGAGAGGAACACCAGUGGCGAAGGCGAGUCUCUGGACAUUUCCUGACGCUGAGGCACGAAAGCUAGGGGAGCAAACAGG
rnacentral:rRNA from 1 species